rnacentral:rRNA from 1 species
GACCGAGGGUGCAAACGUUGUUCGGAAUUACUGGGCGUAAAGCGAGUGUAGGCGGUGUGGUAAGUCGGAUGUGAAAGCCCCGGGCUCAACCCGGGAAGUGCACUCGAUACUGCCACGCUAGAGUAUCGGAGAGGUUGGUGGAAUUCUCGGUGUAGAGGUGAAAUUCGUAGAUAUCGAGAGGAACACCGGUGGCGAAGGCGGCCAACUGGACGAAUACUGACGCUGAGACUCGAAAGCGUGGGGAGCAAACAGG